ensembl:lncRNA
GCAGCUGUUCCGGACAGCCGCUCUGCUUUGCCCUCUGCUGACGGACCUGAUCACUUCCUCAUCGGCGGGACGCCAGCAGGCCGCCGCCAUCCCCGGGCGGGAGAAGAUGAAGAAGACGGUCAUGCAGACCGGGGAGUGUGUGACACAUGGAGGUUGUGUGAAGUGGAACCUCUCCUGUUGGGAAGGCCUUUGUCUUUCUGUCCGUGGCCGGUGACCCGUGCGGGACGGACCUGGUCGCCUUUCGUCAAAUACAUGCUGCAACCCCCCCCCCUCCACACACACACACACGCCACCUAGAAGAGGAAGGAUGGAUGGAAAGGAAAUCAGUAUUUACUUUAGAC